CUAAUUCUUUCAAAAAAGGAUAAAUCUUUUUGUUUUCGUCCGAUAUCGCAAAAUUUUAUUUUUAUCGCUUUUACCACAACCAUCUAGGAUCUAUUGAUUUUUGUUUGUCACCUCCGAAAUCACGACGGUAGAAGUUUAUCGUUGACAAGAACUCGAUUACACACUUUACACAGCUACCUUUUCCCCUUUUUUCCCCAACUUGGUAUUUGUGUUCUGGUGACAAAUAUCAAUAAAUCUAAGCAGAUUGUUGAGUUAAUUUUACUAAUAAGGUGUUUUGUCGGUGGAGGCGAGUAUGCACGACGACGAAAGGGUGGCUGACGAGCUGGAGGCUCUUCAAGCGAUACUGCUAAAUGAGAUUGACAUUAAGACCAACGAAAGCGGCAUGGCUACGGGGAUUGAGAUGGAAGUGCAUCCUUGGACAGCGCUUGAUGUAGAUUUACAGUAUGUCCGAGUCACAUUAGUUGUGCAUCUCCCAAAAGGUUACCCGGACGUAAGACCAACUGUACAGCUCAAAAACCCGAGGGGCCUUGAAGAUAGUUUAAUCAAUGACAUAUAUUCACAAAUAGAAGAUAAAUGUAAUCAACUUAUUGGACAGCCAGCAUUAUUUGAAUUAAUUGAGGUUGUUAAGGAAAAGCUCACUGCAAGUAAUAAACCAUGUGUACCUUGUUGUAUUUGUCUAUAUGGAUUUAGACAAGGAGAUGAUUUUAUAAAAACAGAUUGCUAUCAUUAUUUUCACUCUCGUUGCCUUGCUGGGCACCUCACGGCGUCAGAAAAUAUUUUUAAAGAGGAACAAGAUAAGCUUCCUCCAUGGGAAAAAACAGAGGAACAAUUCAAGGUGGAACAGAUCUCAAAUAUCUUAUGAUGUCGAGGUUUUAAAAAACGCCCAUCCGCCUAUUGAACUUGAAGAAGCACCUAGAACUUUCCAGCCUACGCCGGAAUUGAGAAUGCUUCAAGAAAAAAUGGGAGAGCUUUUCUUACAUCAAAGAAGUAAGGGAGGGAUCAUCCAAGAAGACUCUCCUUCUUUCUGAAGAAUGAAAUGGCAUAGGAAAUAACAGAUGACAUAAAUCAUAAGACAUAUCGACAAUAACUCAUAUUGUAGUUACGGUAUUCUGAGGCAUAUGGUGUACAUUAAAACUCCGUUAAGAGCUUGAAGAGUGCUUAAGCAAAUUUAAAAUGACCCUUUAUAUAUAAAAACUAAACAUUUACACAUGUAACUACAUCUUGUAGCAAUGCCAGUAUGAAUUGGAACACACAAAAAAAAGUCUUAACUUUUUAAUAUUCAUACAUUAUAAAAUUAACGCCAAUGUAGCUCAAAUAAUGCACAGAAAAAAUUAGUUAUUAUUUUGUAAUUCUGUUUUAUCUUUAACUGCCAAAUAGUUAUAAUGAUAGAAAUAAGUUGAUUAUUUUAUAUAAUUAUUUUCUAGUCACACAUACAAGUGUUGUCUCUUAUGCAAUAAGCUGUCUAAUUUAUAUUUUGAAGACUUACGGCAUAGAAAUUCGAGUUUACAUCACCACUUUUAAAAAUAAUAGAAUCUUCAUAGUUAUUAUUUUAAACGGUUAGCAAUUUAAAAUUGCAAUCAUCUCUGAGUAAAAUCUUGCUAUCUAAUGGCUUAAAACAGGUUUUGAAUCUUCCUUAACAUUCUAGAAAUUUGGCUGUUUACCAUUGACACAUAACAUUCCUUUCAAA
rnacentral:misc_RNA from 1 species